rnacentral:rRNA from 1 species
GAUCCUGGCUCAGGACGAACGCUGGCGGCGUGCUUAACACAUGCAAGUCGAACGGGCCCGCUCUUUUUUUUGGGGGCGGGUUGAGUGGCGAACGGGUGAGUAUCACGUGAGUAACCUGCCCUCCUCUCCUGGAUAACCGCUUGAAAGGGCGGCUAAUACGGGGUGGUCCGGUUGGUCCGCAUGGGCUGGUCGGGAUAGUUUCAUCUUCGGGUGUUUCGGUGGGGGAUGGGCUCGCGGCCUAUCAGCUUGUUGGUGGGGUGAUGGCCUACCAAGGCGGUGACGGGUAGCCGGCCUGAGAGGGUGGACGGUCACACUGGGACUGAGACACGGCCCAGACUCCUGCGGGAGGCAGCAGUGGGGGAUAUUGCACAAUGGGCGGAAGCCUGAUGCAGCGACGUCGCGUGAGGGAUGGAGGCCUUCGGGUUGUGAACCUCUUUCGCCGGUGAAGAAGGUCCUGCUUUUUGGGUGGGGUUGACGGUAGCCGGGUUAUGAAGCGCCGGCUAACUACGUGCCAGCAGCCGCGGUAAUACGUAGGGCGCGAGCGUUGUCCGGAAUUAUUGGGCGUAAAGGGCUUGUAGGCGGCUGGUCGCGUCUGCCGUGAAAUCCUCUGGCUCAGCUGGGGGCGUGCGGUGGGUACGGGCUGGCUUGAGUGCGGUAGGGGAGGCUGGAACUCCUGGUGUAGCGGUGGAAUGCGCAGAUAUCAGGAGGAACACCGGUGGCGAAGGCGGGUCUCUGGGCCGUUACUGACGCUGAGGAGCGAAAGCGUGGGGAGCGAACAGGAUUAGAUACCCUGGUAGUCCACGCUGUAAACGUUGGGCACUAGGUGUGGGGGGUCUUUCCGGGUCUUCCGCGCCGUAGCUAACGCAUUAAGUGCCCCGCCUGGGGAGUACGGCCGCAAGGCUAAAACUCAAAGGAAUUGACGGGGGCCCGCACAAGCGGCGGAGCAUGCGGAUUAAUUCGAUGCAACGCGAAGAACCUUACCAAGGCUUGACAU